CAUGGUGGCUCACACCUGUAAUCUCAGCACUUUGGGAAGCCAAGGUGGAUGGAUCACCUGAGGUCAGGAGUUCGAGACCAGCCUGACCAACAUGGUGGAACCCCGUCUCUACUGAAAAUACAAAAAUUAGCUGGGUGUGGUAGUGGACGCCUGUAAUCUCAUCUACUCCAGAGGCUGGGGCAGGAGAAUCGCUUGAACCCAGAAGGUGGAGGUUGCAGUGAGCCGAGAUCAUGCCAUUGCUCUCCAUCCUGGACAACAGAGUGAGACUCUGUCUCAAAAGAAACGAAAGAAAAGAAAGAGAGAAAGAGAAACAGGAAGGUAGGGAGAGACAGAGAGAGAUACUGGAGAAGCCAGAGGGGAGAGGACUGCAUACCCGCACACACAGGAGAACUGGGGGUUGGCUGGGAGGCCCCAGCUGCCAAAAGGGCUGGCCAGCAGGGACAUCUGAGUGGGCUGGGUGGUAGGGGUAGCCCUGGCUCCCUCUGACCCCCCACCUUGGGAACCCUCCAGCCCAGACCUGGGAUGGCGGAUUCGUGCAGGAACCUCACCUACGUGCGGGGCUCGGUGGGGCCGGCCACCAGCACCCUGAUGUUCGUGGCCGGCGUGGUGGGCAACGGGCUGGCCCUGGGCAUCCUGAGCGCACGGCGACCGGCGCGCCCCUCGGCCUUCGCGGUGCUGGUCACCGGACUGGCGGCCACCGACCUGCUGGGCACCAGCUUCCUGAGCCCGGCCGUGUUCGUGGCCUAUGCGCGCAACAGCUCUCUGCUGGGCCUGGCCCGAGGCGGCCCCGCGCUGUGCGAUGCCUUCGCCUUCGCCAUGACCUUCUUCGGCCUGGCGUCCAUGCUCAUCCUCUUUGCCAUGGCCGUGGAGCGCUGCCUGGCGCUGAGCCACCCCUACCUCUACGCGCAGCUGGACGGGCCCCGCUGCGCCCGCCUGGCGCUGCCAGCCAUCUACGCCUUCUGCGUCCUCUUCUGCGCGCUGCCCCUGCUGGGCCUGGGCCAACACCAGCAGUACUGCCCCGGCAGCUGGUGCUUCCUCCGCAUGCGCUGGGCCCAGCCGGGCGGCGCCGCCUUCUCGCUGGCCUACGCCGGCCUGGUGGCCCUGCUGGUGGCUGCCAUCUUCCUCUGCAACGGCUCGGUCACCCUCAGCCUCUGCCGCAUGUACCGCCAGCAGAAGCGCCACCAGGGCUCUCUGGGUCCACGGCCGCGCACUGGAGAGGACGAGGUGGACCACCUGAUCCUGCUGGCCCUCAUGACAGUGGUCAUGGCCGUGUGCUCCCUGCCUCUCACGGUGAGUCCCCUCCGGAGCUGGGAGGAGUGGGGAGAGGAGGAGGGCAGCUCUGUGGGUUGUGCCCAUGUCACAGAUAGGGAGACUGAGGCUCAAAAGAGGUCAGACAUCGUGGGCAUGGUGGCUCACGCCUGUAAUCCCAGCAUGUAGAAAGGCCGAGGCAGGACCGGAUGCGGUGUCUCUCACCUGUAAUCCCAGCACUUUGGGAGGCCGAGGCGGGCGGAUCAUUUGAGGUCAGGAGUUCGAGACCAGUCUGGCCAACAUGAUGAAACUCUGUCUCUACUAAAAAUACAACAAAUAAAUAAAUAAAAAGUAGCCGGACGUAGUGGCACAUGCCUGAAGUCCCAGCUACUUGGGAGGCUGAGGCAGGAGAAUCGCUUGAACCCCGGAGGCGGAGGUUGCAGUGAGCUGAGAUCGUGCCACUGCACUACAGCCUGGGUGACAGAGUGAGACCCCGUCUCAAAAAAUAAAUAAAUAAAUAAUAAGAAAAAAAAGAAAAAGAAAGGCGAGGCAGGAGGAUCACUUGAGCCCAGAGGUUUGAGACCAGCCUGGGCAACAUGGUGAAACCCCAUCUCUAUGAAACAUUUAAAAAUUAGCCUGGCAUGAUGGCCUGUGCCUGUGGUCUCAGCUACUUGUGAAGCUGAGGUGGGAGGAUUGCUCCGGCCUGGGAGGUUGAGGCUGCAGUGAGCUGUGAUUAUACCACUGCAUCCCAGCCUAGCUGACAGAGCAAGACCUUGUCUC
rnacentral:sRNA from 1 species